UGGGGAAUUUUGGACAAUGGGGGAAACCCUGAUCCAGCCAUCCCGCGUGUGCGAUGAAGGCCUUCGGGUUGUAAAGCACUUUUGGCAGGAAAGAAACGUCGCGGGUUAAUACCCCGCGAAACUGACGGUACCUGCAGAAUAAGCACCGGCUAACUACGUGCCAGCAGCCGCGGUAAUACGUAGGGUGCAAGCGUUAAUCGGAAUUACUGGGCGUAAAGCGUGCGCAGGCGGUUCGGAAAGAAAGAUGUGAAAUCCCAGAGCUUAACUUUGGAACUGCAUUUUUAACUACCGGGCUAGAGUGUGUCAGAGGGAGGUGGAAUUCCGCGUGUAGCAGUGAAAUGCGUAGAUAUGCGGAGGAACACCGAUGGCGAAGGCAGCCUCCUGGGAUAACACUGACGCUCAUGCACGAAAGCGUGGGGAGCAAACAGGAUUAGAUACCCUGGUAGUCCACGCCCUAAACGAUGUCAACUAGCUGUUGGGGCCUUCGGGCCUUGGUAGCGCAGCUAACGCGUGAAGUUGACCGCCUGGGGAGUACGGUCGCAAGAUUAAAACUUAAAUGAAUUGACGGGGGU
rnacentral:rRNA from 1 species